AAAGAGGCUUGUUUUCCAGGUAAUUUAUUUAUUAUUUGAUGUGGCAAUAAGUGUUAAUCAUUACUUGGAGCUUCGAACUUUAUCCUGUUUGAACUCUUCAGAGGGUUUGAUGGUGUUUUUUUGUCUCAUUAUUAUGUUAUGUGUUGGUUUCCAUUACAAGUUAAAUGGAUUUUAAAGGUUUUGUUUUUCCCCUCCUGCACAGGUUUGCACUUCUAAAAUGAAU
rnacentral:misc_RNA from 1 species